CUGGUUGAUUCUGCCAGUAAUCAUAUGCUUGUCUCAAAGAUUAAGCCAUGCAUGUCUAAGUACAAACUCUAGCACAGUGAAACUGCGAAUGGCUCAUUAGAUCAGUUAUGGUUCCUUAGAUGAUACAAUCCUACUUGGAUAACUGUGGUAAUUCUAGAGCUAAUACAUGCACUAAAGCUCCGACCCUUUCUGAGGGGAAGAGCGCGUUUAUCAGUUCGAAGCCAGCCGAGCCGCAAGGCUCGUCUCUUUGGUGACUCUGGAUAACUCUAGCGGAUCGCACGGCCUCGAGCCGGCGACGCAUCUAUCAAGUGUCUGCCCUAUCAGACUGUCGAUGGUAAGUGCUAUGCUUACCAUGGUGAUAACGGGUAACGGGGAAUCAGGGUUCGAUUACGGAGAGGGAGCCUGAGAAACGGCUACCACAUCCAAGGAAGGCAGCAGGCGCGCAAAUUACCCAAUCUCGAUACGAGGAGGUAGUGACGAAAAAUAACAAUACGGGACUCUUUCGAGGCCCCGUAAUUGGAAUGAGUGUACUCUAAACGUGUGCACGAGGAUCUAUUGGAGGGCAAGUCUGGUGCCAGCAGCCGCGGUAAUUCCAGCUCCAAUAGCGUAUAUUAAAGCUGUUGUGGUUAAAAAGCUCGUAGUUGGAUCUCAGGGUCGUUCGCGUCGGUCCCUUGCUGCAAUGGCUCGGGUACUGCGCGGUGUCGUCCCCCUUGCCAGACCUCUCAAAAAGGUUGCUCUUGACUGAGUGGCCUGCUCGAGUGGCUGGAGAGUUUACUUUGAAAAAAUUAGAGUGUUCAAAGCAGGCACAGCCCGCCUGUAUAAUGGUGCAUGGAAUAAUGGAAUAGGACCCCGGAUCCUAUUUUGCUGGUUUUUGGAGCUCAGGGGUAAUGAUUAAGAGGAACAGGGCGGGGGCAUCCGUAUUACGGCGUUAGAGGUGAAUUCUUGGAUCGUCGUAAGACGCCCUACAGCGAAAGCAUUUGCCAAGUAUGUUUUCAUUAAUCAAGAACGAAAGUCAGAGGUUCGAAGACGAUCAGAUACCGUCGUAGUUCUGACCGUAAACUAUGCCAACUGGCAGCCCGUCGGCGUUGCUCUAUUCGACUCGGCGGGAGGCCUACCCGAAAGGAAAGUCUACGGGUUCCAGGGGAAGUAUGGUUGCAAAGCUGAAACUUAAAGGAAUUGACGG
rnacentral:rRNA from 1 species